rnacentral:ncRNA from 2 species
CGGGAAACGAGUGGAAGACUCGUGCUGCCCCGCAGCCGUGAGGGGAACGACCGUCCGAUAGGCCACUGGCGCCCGAGGUGCCGGGAAGGCGGACCAGUAGGGGGCCCCGAGCCGGAAGACCG